UUACUACUGCAGGAUUCAACUUUCUCUCUUGCCAGUUCUACUGCCUGAGUGCCUGUACUUUAAGCUGUAUUGCUCAUCUUCUAAUUCUGUUUGUGUUACUGGAACCAGCUCUUGAAGCAUGAUAUGGAUUCUUCUGAAUGUGUAGUCCUGUUAUUUAUACUGUUAGCAGCUCAAAAAUCUUUAGGAAAGUGUCUGUCAGAAGAUUCUACAAUUGUGCCUCUUGCAACAA